rnacentral:misc_RNA from 1 species
GAUGAAGAACGUAGCGAAAUGCGAUACGUAAUGUGAAUUGCAGAAUUCAGUGAAUCAUCGAAUCUUUGAACGCACAUUGCGCCCGCCAGCACUCUGGCGGGCAUGCCUGUACGAGCGUCAUUUCAACCAUCAAGCCCCAGGCUUGCGUUGGAGCCCUGCGGCUGCCGCAGCCUCCUAAAAGCAGUGGCGGGCUCGCUAUCACACCGAGUGCAGUAGAUUACUCUUCGCUCAGGGCGUGCAGCGGGUUCCGGCCGUGAAACCCCCUACUUUUAAAGGUUGACCUCGGAUCAGGUAGGAAUACCCGCUGAACUUAAGCAUAUCAAUAAGCGGAGGA